rnacentral:piRNA from 1 species
AGGGCAACGACGAGACCGUACAGGCCGAGC